GAAAGUAAGUAAGGGCGUAUGGGGGAUGCCUAGGCUCUUGGAGGCGAAGAAAGACGUGGUAAGCUGCGAAAAGCUCCGGGGAUUUGCAAACAAGAUUUGAUCCGGAGAUUUCUGAAUGGGACAACCCGUCAGGUAGAAGACCUGACACAUCGCAAGAUGGGCCAACCCUCUGAACUGAAACAUCUUAGUAGGAGGAGGAAAAGAAAGAAACAUCGAUUUCCUGAGUAGCGGCGAGCGAAAGGGAAAAAGCCUAAACCGGUAUUGUUACGGCAAUGCCGGGGUUGUAGGACUGCAAUAUUCAAGUAACAAUGAACUGGAACGAUCUGGAAAGUUCGUCCAUAGAGGGUGAAAGGCCCGUACAGGUAAGUUCGUUAUGCGAUAGCAGUAUCCUGAGUAGGGCGGGACACGAGGAAUCCUGUCUGAAUCUGCCGGGACCACCCGGUAAGGCUAAAUACUCCCAAGAGACCGAUAGUGAACCAGUACCGUGAGGGAAAGGUGAAAAGAACCCCGAACAGGGGAGUGAAAUAGAACCUGAAACCAUACGCUUACAACCGGUCGGAGCAGCUUCGUGCUGUGACGGCGUGCCUAUUGAAUAAUGAGCCUACGAGUUACUAAUCACUAGCGAGGUUAAGUGCAAGGAUGCACGGAGCCGAAGCGAAAGCGAGUCUGAACAGGGCGUUUAGUUAGUGGUUGUAGACGCGAAACCUUGCGAUCUACCCUUGAGCAGGUUGAAGGUUGGGUAAAACCAACUGGAGGACCGAACGAAUAAGCGUUGAAAAGCUUCUCGAUGACUUGAGGGUAGGGGUGAAAGGCUAAUCAAGCUGGGAAAUAGCUCGUACUCCCCGAAAUGCCUUUAGGGGCAGCGUUGUAAUUAAGAGUCUACUGGAGGUAGAGCUACUGAUUGGAUGCGGGGGCUUCACCGCCUACCAAAUCCUGACAAACUCCGAAUGCCAGUAGUAUGAUUUACAGCAGUGAGUGACUGGGUGCUAAUGUCCAGUCGCAAAAGAGGAACAACUCAGACCAGCAACUAAGGUCCCGAAGAAUAUGCUAAGUUGAUCUAACGAUGUUUUGUUGCAGAGACAGCUAGGAUGUUAGCUUGGAAGCAGCUAUUCAUUCAAAGAGUGCGUAACAGCUCACUAGUCGAGCGGCAAAGCGUGGAUAAUAAACGGGCAUCAAGUAUACCACCGAAGUUCUGGGCACGAAAGUGCGGUAGGGGAGCAUUCCAUUGACGUCGAAGCCAUUCCGCGAGGAUAGGUGGAGUUUAUGGAAAAGCAAAUGUAGGCAUGAGUAACGAUAAUGCGGGAGAGUAACCCGCACACCGCAAGACCAAGGUUUCCUGAUCAACGCUAAUCGGAUCAGGGUUAGUCGGGUCCUAAGGGUAAGCCGAACGGUGAUCUCGAUGGACAAUCGGUUAAUAUUCCGAUACUAAUAUAUACCUCGAUGGAGAGACGAAGGAACGUAAGUGACGCCGCCUGACGGAAUAGGUGGUUAAAGGGCGUAGGUAUAGGGACAGAUUAAGAGUUAGUCCUUGCUGAAACCCGACAGUACGGAGCGGCUACGGCCAAUCUGAUAGUUCACCCAAGUCGACUUCCGAGAAAAUCUUCUAAGUUAUAGUAUAUGUUACCCGUACCGUAAACCGACACAGGUGGUCGAGGAGAGUAUCCUAAGGUGCUCGAGUGAAUCACGGUUAAGGAACUAGGCAAAUUAACCCCGUAACUUCGGGAAAAGGGGUCCCUACGCGAGUAGGGCGCAGCGAAGAGGUCCAGGCGACUGUUUAUCAAAAACACAGGGCUCUGCAAAUUCGAAAGAAGACGUAUAGGGCCUGACACCUGCCCGGUGCUGGAAGGUUAAGAGGGGAUGUCAUCGCAAGAGAAGCAUUGAAUCGAAGCCCCAGUAAACGGCGGCCGUAACUAUAACGGUCCUAAGGUAGCGAAAUUCCUUGUCGGGUAAGUUCCGACCUG
rnacentral:rRNA from 1 species